AGAAGGAGUGCUAUGUGGCUAAAGAGCCCCAUCACCAGUUGAGCGUGUUCAGCUCUUCUUUCUGUAUAUGAGUUAUUGGCCUACCUGGGAGCACUUUGCCCUGUAUUGCCAAGAGCACGUCAGGAGCAAUUUGGCUUUUUUGUGGAUAGAACAGCAUCACACAGUAUUCUGUAAGGCUGAGGCUUCCCUCUGCUUCACAGACUUCUCAGGACUUGUGAAGCUUACACAGUUGUUUUAAAUUCUUUACCUGCUGCUGCCUGCUUGUGCUUUAGUUCUGUUGUAACUCAUGUUGGUCUCUGCACCAAACAAGAGUGUGAUGCUGCUACUCACAUCUUCUAGCUGAAAUGGUGGACUAAGACUUGCCCCUUGGCUGAGAGGGCAGAGUUUGUAGAAGAGCUGUUCAUAGCUGCUGUUGCUUAUAUGAUUCAAAAAUUGAUGCUGAAGAGAAGCUUUCUCAACUUCAUUCCCUGCACUGAACCCCGGUAUUACGUUGGUCUGUCUCCUGAGGGCCGGACAAGGAAGACUGCGAUGUUGUUGGUUGCAAUUCCUGGUCCUGUUUGUGUACAUCAGGAAGUCUGGGAUGUGAUGGGAUGCAAUGGAGAGGAGAUGGCAGCCAUGAGUGGAGAGCAGCCAGCCUGGCCUCACUGCUGUCAUGAGGAGCCUGCCAGGAUGGAGCAGUUCAUGCCAUCCAUGAGUCAUCUGGCUAACUGAACCCGAGGUUGGGAGCACAGACCCACUACAAGGUUGCUAUGGGCAAGAGGAGAGUUGCUUAUAAACCUCAUCGCUGUUUUGUCUUUGCUUUAAGCUUGCCCUGUUGAAAAAAAAAAAAAAGGCAAAAAAAACAACGGGUCUAGUUCUUCAUUCAAAUUGAAACACAAUAGGGAGCUCAGUUUAGGGAAAUCUGCCUCAAUGCCUGGAACACUCCAGGGUCCCAGCAUGCUGCUUUUUGUCUUCUGUUUGCAGUGAUAGCUCUUGGGAUGCACUAAUUUCAAAACAAUGCCAACCUCCCGGGUACUCCCUUAAUUGGCUCAGUGAGAGAAUGAUGAUGAUGAUCUGUAUGCCAUUGGUAGCAUGGUAUUACAAACUCCAGUAAUUGCACUCAAGUGUUAAGGUAAAAAGGUUGUGAAAGCACCAGUCAUGGUGCUGUAACACUGCAGCGUGACUGGAAGCAGACGCUUAACUAGAUCAAUGCUCUCUGAGGACUAGAAGUGUGGUAGAGGACUUAAAAGUAUACUCUUGGCCAUUCAUAUUGUCUUAUUAUGUAAAAUUGUGUUUCCCAUGCCAUCUUGAAUAGUUGAUCAGGAAAAGUCAUUGCAAAGGUUCUGUUUUAAAAGGAUUGAGGUAAGAGUGCUUCAUUCAUUGAGAGACAGAAAAACCUGUUAAUAUGUUAAACAAAAGGCAUGAAGCUGCCUUGCCAGGAAGUCAGUGUUAACAUAAGAGUGAUAUGUCCCAGAAUGACUGUAACUGAUGAACCAUUUAGAUCAGCUCAAGAUGAUGGACUAGACGAGCUCUUCGGAUCUCUUCCAGCCCCAUCUGUGAUUGUGAUACACAUCCUUCUAGGGAUGGAAACUGUGUCUCAGAGCUGCCUCUGCUAUCAGAAAGGUCACAUUUCAGAGCCAAAGGACAAGAACUGGGUUGCUUUCUGCAAGAGAUUUUACACCUGAGGAAAAUUUCCUUGCGUUUUAUGAGUAGCGGGAAUGAGAAAUGCUGCUGGUUUGUAGGCUUGCGCCUGAAUUUUUUUCUUAGCAGUAAAUGAGAAUGCAAACUGCAUUGUUAAGAAAUGACCUUUGGCUGUUUUAUGUUGAAGAUGUUUUCAAUUUUUACAUCCUGCAGAAAUGUGAGCCAGAAUGAGAGAAUAGCAGAAAAAUAUUUUUCUGCCCCUUGAGUUUAUGCUAAUUCUGAUUUGCUAAAAUCAGCAUGAAUUAACAUGAGAUAUGAAGUUAGUUUAAAACUGUAUUCCAGUCCAAAAAACUACUCUCAGGUGACCCACAAAUAACAAAUGUUUCGUUCUUGUGCCCAACAGCUUGGUUUUUCCUUCUGAAGUGUGGGACACACAACUUGAAUCCUGGUGCCUGUACCUGGCAUGUAUUUCAGAGCCCUGAGCUUUCAGUGUGCUGGUGGCUGCUCCCAUACAUAGCUCAUAGCGUGCUUGCUGAGCAUACACACCUCUGUGUUGAGCAAAAGGUGAAUGCAGAUGUGCCCAUCACUUACUUGCCUUGCCUGAAUGAAAGCAAAGUUUAUGAAAAUGGGUGUUGAGCCUUGAUUAACUAUGUGUGCUUGGUAUAUACACUCUAUUCUCUGUCUAGGAGUGACUGCAGUAUUUAUUUGUGAAAUGUCUGCCUAUUUUAGACUCCUUUGGACAGUCCAUGAAGCUCUGGAGGGGGGAUUAGGUUAAAUGUAAAGAAGUGUUUUACAAUAAGGGUGGUGAGGCACUGGCACAGGUUGCCUGGUGAGGUGGUGGGUGCCCCGUCCCUGAAGUCAACCAAGGUCAGACUGGACAGGGCUCUGAGCUCCUGAUGGAGCUGUAGGUGUCCCUGUUCAUUGCAGAGGAGUUGAACUAUGUGACCUUUAAAGGUCUUUUCCAACACAAACAAGACUGUGAUUCUAUGAUUCUCUUUCUUGUGAGAAGGAGACGGUUUUUACUUUAGGAACUAAAAGCAGUUGCUCACCCUAGUAAUGUUACACUUAAAAUGUGUUAGAGGCAUGUGACCACAGUGUAAGGCCUUCUUCACAAUUUCCGUGUGAAAUGUUAUGGGCUGUCAUGCAGUACAAUCUACAUAUACCUUUGAUACUAGAGGAGAAAUCAAUAAAUCUGCUUUUGAGAUGUUUGUUGAGGAUGUA
rnacentral:lncRNA from 1 species